rnacentral:misc_RNA from 1 species
AACGCACAUUGCGCUUCCUGGCAUUCCGGGGAGCAUGCCUGUUUCAGAAUCAUUAAAACCUCUCACCUACUAUUGUGUUUAAUGCCAAUAGUUUUGGUGGAUUUUGAGUGUUUUCAAAUUAAUUUUUGAAUCAUUUAAAUAAUAUUGUGUGCAGCCAUUAUUUCACUCAUUUUCAAAAUGUUUGGUGAAUGGUUCCCAAGUGCAAUAAAGACUAAAAAUCUCUAUACUCUUGAGUACCGCAAAAUUCCCGGACAAUUAAUUUUGAAUGUGGGAUCAUGAAUUAAUUGUUAGUACCUCAAAUUAUUACACGAUUUAUUUAUUUUGUUCGCGCAAAAUAAAUAAUUCGAAACUUUGAUCUGAAAUCAAGCAAGAAAACCCGCUGAACUUAA